rnacentral:rRNA from 1 species
CAGCAGUGGGGAAUAUUGCACAAUGGGCGCAAGCCUGAUGCAGCCAUGCCGCGUGUAUGAAGAAGGCCUUCGGGUUGUAAAGUACUUUUCAGCGGGAGGAAGGGAGUAAAGUUAAUACCUUUGCUCAUUGACGUUACCCGCAGAAGAAGCCCCGGCUAACUCCGUGCCAGCGGCCGCGGUAAUACGAAGGGGGCUAGCGUUGCUCGGAAUCACUGGGCGUAAAGGGCGCGUAGGCGGCUGAUUUAGUCGAGGGUAAAGCCCGUGGCUCAACCACGGAAUGGCCUUCGAUACUGGUUGGCUUGAGACCGGAGGAGGACAGCGGAACUGCGAGUGUAGAGGUGAGAUUCGUAGAUAUUCGCAAGAACACCAGUGGCGAAGGCGGCUGUCUGGUCCGGUUCUGACGCUGAGGCGCGAAAGCGUGGGGAGCAAACAGGAUUAGAUUCCCUGGUAGUCCACGCCGUAAACGAUGAGUGCUAAGUGUUAGGGGUGCAUGCACCUUAGUGCGCCGCUAACGCAUUAAGCACUCCGCCUGGGGAGUACGGUCGCAAG